rnacentral:rRNA from 1 species
GGGCAACCCUGGUGGCGAGUGGCGGACGGGUGAGUAAAGCAUCGGAACGUAUCCUGGAGUGGGGGAUAACGUAGCGAAAGUUACGCUAAUACCGCAUAUUCUGUGAGCAGGAAAGCAGGGGAUCGCAAGACCUUGCGCUCUGGGAGCGGCCGAUGUCGGAUUAGCUAGUUGGUGGGGUAAAGGCCUACCAAGGCGACGAUCCGUAGCGGGUCUGAGAGGAUGAUCCGCCACACUGGGACUGAGACACGGCCCAGACUCCUACGGGAGGCAGCAGUGGGGAAUUUUGGACAAUGGGCGCAAGCCUGAUCCAGCCAUGCCGCGUGAGUGAAGAAGGCCUUCGGGUUGUAAAGCUCUUUCGGCGGGGAAGAAAUUGCACGGGUUAAUACCCUGUGUAGAUGACGGUACCCGAAUAAGAAGCACCGGCUAACUACGUGCCAGCAGCCGCGGUAAUACGUAGGGUGCGAGCGUUAAUCGGAAUUACUGGGCGUAAAGCGUGCGCAGGCGGUUUGGUAAGUCAGAUGUGAAAUCCCCGGGCUCAACCUGGGAACUGCAUUUGAGACUGCCAGGCUGGAGUUUGGCAGAGGGGGGUGGAAUUCCACGUGUAGCAGUGAAAUGCGUAGAGAUGUGGAGGAACACCGAUGGCGAAGGCAGCCCCCUGGGCCAAUACUGACGCUCAUGCACGAAAGCGUGAGGAGCAAACAGGAUUAGAUACCCUGGUAGUCCACGCCCUAAACGAUGUCAACUAGGUGUUGGGAGGGUUAAACCUUUUAGUGCCGUAGCUAACGCGUGAAGU